AUUGAACGCUGGCGGCAGGCCUAACACAUGCAAGUCGAACGGAGUGGCGGACGGGUGAGUAACGUCUGGGAAAACGCCUGAUGGAGGGGGCUAACUCCUGGAAACGGUAGCUAAUACCGCAUACCAUCAGCUGAGCCUUGGGCGGAUUAGCUAGUUGGUGGGGUAAAGGCUUACCAAGGCGACGAUCCGUAACUGGUCUGCGAGGGGGAUCCGUCACACUGGAACUGAGACACGGUCCAACCUCCUACGGGAGGCAGCAGUGGGGAAUAUUGGACAAUGGGCGAAAGCCUGAUCCAGCCAUGCCGCGUGUGUGAAGAAGGUCUUCGGAUUGUAAAGCACUUUAAGUUGGGAGGCGUUACCAACAGAAUAAGCACCGGCUAACUUCGUGCCAGCAGCCGCGGUAAUAC
rnacentral:rRNA from 1 species